rnacentral:tRNA from 1 species
GGGGCGUGUUCAGGUGGACUUGAGCGGGGUUUGCACCCGCUUGAGCCAGUUCGAGUCUGGCACGCUCCA